rnacentral:siRNA from 1 species
UUUGUAGGGAAUGUUCCGUA